UAGCUCAGUCAGUUGAGCGUGGCUCUAACAGCGCCAAGGUCGCAGGUUCGAUUCCUGU
rnacentral:tRNA from 1 species